rnacentral:rRNA from 5 species
ACGCUGGCGGCAGGCCUAACACAUGCAAGUCGAGCGGAAACGACACUAACAAUCCUUCGGGUGCGUUAAUGGGCGUCGAGCGGCGGACGGGUGAGUAAUGCCUAGGAAAUUGCCUUGAUGUGGGGGAUAACCAUUGGAAACGAUGGCUAAUACCGCAUAAUGCCUACGGGCCAAAGAGGGGGACCUUCGGGCCUCUCGCGUCAAGAUAUGCCUAGGUGGGAUUAGCUAGUUGGUGAGGUAAUGGCUCACCAAGGCGACGAUCCCUAGCUGGUCUGAGAGGAUGAUCAGCCACACUGGAACUGAGACACGGUCCAGACUCCUACGGGAGGCAGCAGUGGGGAAUAUUGCACAAUGGGCGAAAGCCUGAUGCAGCCAUGCCGCGUGUAUGAAGAAGGCCUUCGGGUUGUAAAGUACUUUCAGUUGUGAGGAAGGGGGURKWGUUAAUAGCKSYAUCUCUUGACGUUAGCAACAGAAGAAGCACCGGCUAACUCCGUGCCAGCAGCCGCGGUAAUACGGAGGGUGCGAGCGUUAAUCGGAAUUACUGGGCGUAAAGCGCAUGCAGGUGGUUCAUUAAGUCAGAUGUGAAAGCCCGGGGCUCAACCUCGGAACUGCAUUUGAAACUGGUGAACUAGAGUACUGUAGAGGGGGGUAGAAUUUCAGGUGUAGCGGUGAAAUGCGUAGAGAUCUGAAGGAAUACCAGUGGCGAAGGCGGCCCCCUGGACA